rnacentral:rRNA from 1 species
GAUGAACGCUGGCGGCGUGCCUAAUACAUGCAAGUCGAGCGAACAGACGAGGAGCUUGCUCCUCUGACGUUAGCGGCGGACGGGUGAGUAACACGUGGAUAACCUACCUAUAAGACUGGGAUAACUUCGGGAAACCGGAGCUAAUACCGGAUAAUAUAUUGAACCGCAUGGUUCAAUAGUGGAAGACGGUUUUGCUGUCACUUAUAGAUGGAUCCGCGCCGCAUUAGCUAGUUGGUAAGGUAACGGCUUACCAAGGCAACGAUGCGUAGCCGACCCGAGAGGGUGAUCGGCCACACUGGAACUGAGACACGGUCCCGACUCCUACGGGAGGCAGCAGUAGGGAAUCUUACGCAAUGGGCGAAAGCCUAACGGAGCAACGCCGCGUGAGUGAUGAAGGUCUUCGGCUCGGAAAACUAUGUUAUUAGGGAAGAACAAAUGUGUAAGUACCUAUGCACGUCUUGACGGUACCUAAUCAGAAAGCCACGGCUAACUACGUG